rnacentral:rRNA from 1 species
GACAGAGGUCCCGAGCGUUAGGCGGAAUCACUGGGCUUAAAGCGUGUGUAGGCGGAUGCCUAAGUACCUUGUGAAAUCCCACGGCUCACCCGUGGAAUUGCUUGGUAUACUGGGUGUCUUGAGCCACUUAGGGGCUACCGGAACAAAUGGUGGAGCGGUGAAAUGCGUAGAUAUCAUUUGGAACGCCAAUGGUGAAAACAGGUAGCUGGGAGUGUGCUGACGCUGAGACACGAAAGCCAGGGGAGCGAACGGG